AGGAGGAACAGCCCCAGUGGCGGGGCAGCUCUGGAAACCUGGAUUCAGCUCCGGCAGGAACUCCGUCUGCAGGGCCUGGAGGCUCUGGGCGGGG
rnacentral:pre_miRNA from 1 species